AGUGAACGCUGGCGGUAGGCCUAACACAUGCAAGUCGAACGGCAGCACAGUAAUUGCUUGCUCUUACGGGUGGCGAGUGGCGUACGGGUGAGGUAUACAUCGUAAUCUACUUUUUCGUGUGGGUUAACGUAGGGAAACUUACGCUCAUACCGCAUACGCCCUUCGGUUGUAAGCAGUGGAUCUUCUGACCUUUCGCGUUUGAAUGAGCCGCUGUCGGAUUAGCUAGUUGGCGGGGUAAAUGCCCACCAAGGCGACGAUCCGUAGCUGGUCUGAGAGGAGGAUCAGCCACACUGGAAGGGAGACACGGACAAGAGUACUACGGGAGGGAGCAGAGGGGAAUAGGGGACAAUGGGGGCAAGCAUGAUCCAGCGAGACCGCGUGGGAGAAGAAGGCCUUGGGGUUGUAAAGCCGGUUUGUGGGGAAAGAAAAGCAGCAGGUUAAGACCAAGCUGGACUGACGGUAACGAAAGAAGAAGCACCGGCUAACUACGUG
rnacentral:rRNA from 1 species